UCUCAAUGAUGUUAUUUUAUUAUAUUUGCUACUUCAGAGGGACUAUCUAUCCCAAUGAGACAUUUUUUAAUCACCAAGAUCUCUGAGAGA
rnacentral:snoRNA from 1 species